GACAGAGGGUGCAAACGUUGUUCGGAAUUACUGGGCGUAAAGCGUGUGUAGGCUGCUCCAUAAGUCGGAUGUGAAAGCCCCGGGCUCAACCCGGGAAGUGCACUCAAUACUGUGGAGCUCGAGUAUCGGAGAGGUUGGUGGAAUUCUCGGUGUAGAGGUGAAAUUCGUAGAUAUCGAGAGGAACACCGGUGGCGAAGGCGGCCAACUGGACGAAUACUGACGCUGAGACACGAAAGCGUGGGGAGCAAACAGG
rnacentral:rRNA from 1 species